rnacentral:rRNA from 1 species
GUGGGGAAUAUUGGACAAUGGGCGAAAGCCUGAUCCAGCCAUGCCGCGUGUGUGAAGAAGGUCUUCGGAUUGUAAAGCACUUUAAGUUGGGAGGAAGGGCAGUAAGUUAAUACCUUGCUGUUUUGACGUUACCAACAGAAUAAGCACCGGCUAACUUCGUGCCAGCAGCCGCGGUAAUACGAAGGGUGCAAGCGUUAAUCGGAAUUACUGGGCGUAAAGCGCGCGUAGGUGGUUCAGCAAGUUGGAGGUGAAAUCCCCGGGCUCAACCUGGGAACUGCCUCCAAAACUACUGAGCUAGAGUACGGUAGAGGGUAGUGGAAUUUCCUGUGUAGCGGUGAAAUGCGUAGAUAUAGGAAGGAACACCAGUGGCGAAGGCGACUACCUGGACUGAUACUGACACUGAGGUGCGAAAGCGUGGGGAGCAAACAGGAUUAGAAACCCUUGUAGUCC